rnacentral:rRNA from 1 species
ACGGAGGGUGCGAGCGUUAAUCGGAAUUACUGGGCGUAAAGCGCAUGCAGGUGGUUCAUUAAGUCAGAUGUGAAAGCCCGGGGCUCAACCUCGGAACUGCAUUUGAAACUGCUGAUCUAGAGUGCGGAAGAGAGGGAUGGAAUUUCAGGUGUAGUGGUGAAAUGCGUAGAUAUCUGGAAGAACACCAGUGGCGAAGGCGGUCUCUUGGUCCUAUACUGACGCUAAGGUGCGAAAGCGUGGGUAGCAAACAG